AGACCCGAAACCCGGUGAUCUAGCCAUGGGCAGGUUGAAGGUUGGGUAACACUAACUGGAGGACCGAACCGACUAAUGUUGAAAAAUUAGCGGAUGACCUGUGGCUGGGGGUGAAAGGCCAAUCAAACCGGGAGAUAGCUGGUUCUCCCCGAAAGCUAUUUAGGUAGCGCCUCGUGAAUUCAUCUCCGGGGGUAGAGCACUGUUUCGGCUAGGGGGCCAUCCCGGCUUACCAACCCGAUGCAAACUGCGAAUACCGGAGAAUGUUAUCACGGGAGACACACGGCGGGUGCUAACGUCCGUCGUGAAGAGGGAAACAACCCAGACCGCCAGCUAAGGUCCCAAAGUCAUGGUUAAGUGGGAAACGAUGUGGGAAGGCCCAGACAGCCAGGAUGUUGGCUUAGAAGCAGCCAUCAUUUAAAGAAAGCGUAAUAGCUCACUGGUCGAGUCGGCCUGCGCGGAAGAUGUAACGGGGCUAAACCAUGCACCGAAGCUGCGGCAGCGACGCUUAUGCGUUGUUGGGUAGGGGAGCGUUCUGUAAGCCUGUGAAGGUGGCCUGUGAGGGUUGCUGGAGGUAUCAGAAGUGCGAAUGCUGACAUAAGUAACGAUAAAGCGGGUGAAAAGCCCGCUCGCCGGAAGACCAAGGGUUCCUGUCCAACGUUAAUCGGGGCAGGGUGAGUCGACCCCUAAGGCGAGGCCGAAAGGCGUAGUCGAUGGGAAACGGGUUAAUAUUCCCGUACUUGGUGUUACUGCGAAGGGGGGACGGAGAAGGCUAUGUUGGCCGGGCGACGGUUGUCCCGGUUUAAGCGUGUAGGUGUGUGUUCCAGGUAAAUCCGGUU
rnacentral:rRNA from 6 species